rnacentral:rRNA from 1 species
CAGCUUGUUGGUGAGGUAAUGGCUCACCAAGGCGACGACGGGUAGCCGGCCUGAGAGGGUGACCGGCCACACUGGGACUGAGACACGGCCCAGACUCCUACGGGAGGCAGCAGUGGGGAAUAUUGCACAAUGGGCGAAAGCCUGAUGCAGCAACGCCGCGUGAGGGAUGACGGCCUUCGGGUUGUAAACCUCUUUUAGUAGGGAAGAAGCGAAAGUGACGGUACCUGCAGAAAAAGCACCGGCUAACUACGUGCCAGCAGCCGCGGUAAUACGUAGGGUGCAAGCGUUGUCCGGAAUUAUUGGGCGUAAAGAGCUCGUAGGCGGUUUGUCGCGUCUGCUGUGAAAUCCCGAGGCUCAACCUCGGGCUUGCAGUGGGUACGGGCAGACUAGAGUGCGGUAGGGGAGAUUGGAAUUCCUGGUGUAGCGGUGGAAUGCGCAGAUAUCAGGAGGAACACCGAUGGCGAAGGCAGAUCUCUGGGCCGUUACUGACGCUGAGGAGCGAAAGCGUGGGGAGCGAACAGGAUUAGAUACCCUGGUAGUCCACGCCGU